rnacentral:lncRNA from 1 species
UUCUUUCGUUUGUUCUUGCUUUUGCUCUCUAUCUUUAUUCCUUUCUCUCUCUCUCUCGUUUCUGUUAUACAGGAAUAGACUCAGUUCACUUAGUUUUACAAAUGCAAAAUAUAAUAGAAAGUCUGUGCUAUUGAAGAGUAUUGUAUUCAAAGGGUUACUGAGCUGACAAUGUCCCCUGACUAACUAUAAAAUGUAAUCAGCAAUAGCACAGGCUCCUGGAACCAGGCUGUCAGGACCAGCAUCGAGGCAGCUGUGUACAGGGAUCAGCAUCUGACAGGUCCAAGUUCGAAUCUCACCUGUGCCACUUACUACCAUAGGACAAAGUUCACAGGACAAAGUUCUUAACAUCUCAGAGCCUGUUUCCUCAUACAUAAAAUGGAAAUAAAAAUACUCGACUUAAUAGCACUGCUGCAGUGUUUAAGUAAGAUAGGGUAAUGUGUCCAGCAUGAUAUCCAGAUAUGAAUGUUACUGAAUCAGCUAAGUCUACAUUUGGCUCUGAGUGUCAGAAAACCUAAUAAGCUCUUCUAAAUUAGGGACUGUAUGUGUCUCAUGCAACAAGAAAUCUGAUGAUGGGCUUGCCAGAGCUCAAGCUCAUUUUAUCUUCCUGCUCCAGUAUCCCCAGUUCGGCUUUUGUUGCUGUGAUUGCAAGAAGGGGUGGGUGGGGGAGGGGUGUGACUUCCUGAUAGAAUGAUGGGAUAAGAACAAAGAAAAACAUUCUAAGAGGAAUCUCCUCUUGAAAGUCUCUCCCCAGGGACCAUGACUGAGAGCUCAUUGGCUGUAGCUGGGUCACAUGGCCACAGAAAAAAGAGUCUGGGAAGAUGAGAAUAUUUUUUAGCUGGGCACUUUGCUGUCCUUACAACAGCAAGAUUUUGUUAGGAACGAAGAGGGUAGUGAUAAGCUCCUCACCUCCUGCCUGCCUAAGCUCCAGUUGCAAGGAAGGGAGAUAGAGUGAGAAGAAUAAAAAUAAAGAAGUUGCUCAUCUCUUCAUUUUGCAUGAGGACCUUGAAGUUUGCACAGCAUGGUGACGGUGACACCAAAUGAAAAGAGGACUGAGAACAGACUGUAAGCAAUUCAGCCUGCCAAAAAUUCAGAUUGCUAAAUAAGGGAUACCAAUCAGAUGUUUUCUAUCUUCCCUGGAGAAACUAAGGAACUUCAAGUUUAAAAUGCCUCAUGAAGAAUUGGGAUAAAAUAUAAAGAAUUUCCUGAAGAAAGGGAGGAAGAUGAUUGUGUACUGAAUGAUUGCAAUAGAACAUCUGAAAAUGUAAAAUGAAAAGGAUAACUGAACUUUUCUAUGAAGAGCUUGAUUAUGGCCAUACAUUGAAUUAAUGAGCAUUCAGUGAGUCCACAGUUCUUUGUUGAGGGUCUCCUGCAUGCCAUACACUGUGCUACGUCCUGGGGCUCCAUAAAUUCUUUGUUAACAAAAUAAAAAUACCCCCAUACAGAGAAGCACUUUCAGAUACAUUACCUCAUCUCUAACAGAACACACAGUCAACAGAACCAUGCGGAGGCUGAUCAAUAUUCUAAACAAUAGUUUCAUAAAUACUGUCCCUAGACUCGUCUACUCACUGGGAGCUGCAGGGGUUGGUAUUCUAGCUAGCAAAUGAAACAAUCUGCAUACAUGCUUAAAUCAAGUUUGUUUAAAAUUAGAAAAUGGCAUAAUGUAUUCAAAAGUUUUUAUGCAGUAUUUGCAUGGAAUUUAAAAUAUGCUACAUGCUUUGAAUUAGGAGAGCAGAGCGAUGUGUAGCUCAUCUAUUGGUCUGAUCGAAUGUUUAAAAAUCAAAUUUUAGAGAGCUCUGUACUUAAAUAACUGUAAAAGAAAAUAAAAUCAGAAUGCAUA